UAGAGCACAAUAGGAGGGAGUAUCCAGUACCUAACGAUGCGGCAUAAGUAAAAACAGAAAGCAACAGUGAAGAUAACAUCAUAUCUGGGAAGCAGGAAAUACAUUAUAUUUACCACUUAUUAGCAGACCAAGUGGGAAACCUCACAAUUUACAUUAGAAAGAUGGGCAGAUCAGAGAGACUCAGCCAAUUUGCUUGAUAUUAGGCUUUGAUCCUCAAAAGGAGCAGUAUGGGUGGUGCGAACAACAUAAAGGCAGAUUAACAAACGAUGUCAAGUAAUAUUAUAACAAUAAGAACAUUCCACAUUAAGAAAGAAGAUUCAGGAGGCAACAAACAAAACUCCAGAAUUUUUGAGAACUAUUACUUGAUUAUAUUAGCAUUUGGGUGAAUAUUUUAAUCACGUCAUGAACACAUUAAAGAAAAGGGAACAAGAACAACAUUUUUGCUCAAGUAAUAAUACUCACAAGAUUAAAUAACGAAUAAAUAUCUCAAUAGUUGAUGGAUCUUUUGCUUGGCAAUCAAAAAAAGCCAUCUUCAUAUAUGUGCACUUUAGAUAUUCUCAAUGUAUACCAACACUCAUAAGUCUUGUUUACCUUAAAUUUAUCCUUUGUCAACCAUGCAGCUUAGAAGUUUGGUCAAAUGAAAGCUGUAAAUAGCUGCUACAGUCAGAGCGUGGUCCGUUCCAGAACAAAGCAGCGAAAUCAACGAGCAAAACACACUUCUAGCUCAAAGAUCAAAUCCAUAAAAAAAAGAAAAAUUGAGUUCUGAAACUUCAGUAGUCGAUUCCCUUGCGAAUCUUCCUUGAAAUCCCAGUUUUCUUUGUUUUCAGGGCUUUGUGAUUUUCAGAUCUGGUUUUCAGAUCUUUUUUUUCAUUUUUUUUAAUUUCGAACUUGUCUUCUCUUUCUAUUUCGUGUAUGUUUAUGGGAAUUUCAUAUGAGGGAGAUGAAGAAAAGAUGGAUUGGAGAAGAAGAAGAAGGAGCAAGAGGAGAACGACAUUGCUGAAGGAAAAAUUAGAGAGGGUCUCCUG
rnacentral:lncRNA from 1 species